rnacentral:rRNA from 1 species
UGGGGAAUUUUGGACAAUGGGGGAAACCCUGAUCCAGCCAUCCCGCGUGUGCGAUGAAGGCCUUCGGGUUGUAAAGCACUUUUGGCAGGAAAGAAACGUCAUGGGUUAAUACCCCGUGAAACUGACGGUACCUGCAGAAUAAGCACCGGCUAACUACGUGCCAGCAGCCGCGGUAAUACGUAGGGUGCAAGCGUUAAUCGGAAUUACUGGGCGUAAAGCGUGCGCAGGCGGUUCGGAAAGAAAGAUGUGAAAUCCCAGAGCUCAACUUUGGAACUGCAUUUUUAACUACCGGGCUAGAGUGUGUCAGAGGGAGGUGGAAUUCCGCGUGUAGCCGUGAAAUGCGUAGAUAUGCGGAGGAACACCGAUGGCGAAGGCAGCCUCCUGGGAUAACACUGACGCUCAUGCACGAAAGCGUGGGGAGUGAACAGG